GGAGGUAAUCCCCGCCAUGUGAGAGGGCGGCACGAGCUGUGGAGGUGGGUUGUUUUUCAUUCAAAUCCCGCUGCACCUAUAAAAAGCACAACUCUGUGAGACAGAGGCUGAAAACAGAUGGGGAAAGGUGACUGAUACGAUUGUCUCUAUCUCCCUGCUUACAUUGCCGGCCAUACAUCAUCGGCAGGGCGAGAUGCAGAAGUCUGCAGGUGUCCUGACGGUGCUGGCCCUGAAACACACAGCUCUAUGUCUGGUUCUGCUGCCCCGGUUCCUCCUGGCAGCGCUGAUGCUGUGUCUCCUGGACGUCCUGUGCAUCAGGAGGAAAGUGCUGCUGAAGAUGGAGGGCAGCAGCCCCGAAGACCCGCCUGUCUGCGUCUCCGACUCCAACAAGAUGUUCACCCUGGAGUCGCUCAGGGCCGUGUGGUACGGACAGAAAUUAGACUUUUUCAAAUCGGCGCACAUUGGACUUAUCGCGCCCAACACCGAGGUUGUGCAGCUGCAGGAGCGGCGCAGGGUCCGGGUCCUAGACUAUGUGAAAGGGAGGAGACCUCUCAUCCUCAACUUCGGCAGUUGCUCCUGACCACCGUUCAUGACGCGCCUGGCUGCGUUUCAGCGCGUCGCGAGCCAGUAUGCGGACAUCGCCGACUCCCUGCUUGUAUAUAUCGAGGAGGCGCAUCCCUCGGACGGCUGGGUGAGCUCCGACGCGCCAUACCAGAUCCCCAAGCACUGCUGUCUGGAGGACAGACUGAAAGCCGCUCAGCUGAUGCACUCGGAGGUUCCCUGCUGCAAUGUGGUGGUGGAUACUAUGGACAACUCGUCCAACGCGGCUUACGGAGCCUAUUUUGAAAGACUUUAUAUCCUGAGGGAUGAGCGGGUCGUGUAUCAGGGGGGCAGGGGACCGGAGGGCUACCGGAUAUCAGAGCUGAGGAACUGGCUCGAGCAAUACCGGAAUGAUUUGGAGAAUUCCAGCAGAACAGUGGUGGUCCACGUUUAACUUAAAGAUAACCAUUAGACGCGUGAAGUGUCCACACAGUGAAGAAGUAUUCAGAUGCUGCUACAAACUCUUGACACACUGCACAUAUGACUAGGCCUAUACAUGUUGUUUUGGUUCAGAAGCAUUAUAGCAUUAUUACACAUAUUAGUAAUGUUUAUUAUGAUGUAAAACGCACGAUAGGCUUAGUUGUUCAGUUUUGCUCGUCUUGACACUAAUUAUUUGUUUGGUUGUUUGUUUUUGUAAGGAGCUGUCUUUGAUUUGAACCUGUGCAAAAGGUUUACUUAUUUCAGUUUGACCUUCAUUUGAUUAUGAUCACUUUAUUUUUAUACUAUAUGGUCUCUACCUUGUGUGUGUGUGCGUGUGCGUGUGCGUGCGUGAGUCUAAAUGGCUAAUACCUUUUACUCUAGUGUUGUUGUGAAGUUCGGUUUUUAAAGGGUUUUAAACCAGAAAACUGAUACUGAUGUUAUUUGAUACUAGAGUACUUGGCGACUAGCAAUGUCUUCAACGAACAAAUUGCAAAACGUUCUGUAAAUUGUUUAUAUUUUAUUGAACAAAUAUUUGUAAUAAAUGUUAGAACACA